UACGUAGGUCCCGAGCGUUGUCCGGAUUUAUUGGGCGUAAAGCGAGCGCAGGUGGUUUAUUAAGUCUGGUGUAAAAGGCAGUGGCUCAACCAUUGUAUGCAUUGGAAACUGGUAGACUUGAGUGCAGGAGAGGAGAGUGGAAUUCCAUGUGUAGCGGUGAAAUGCGUAGAUAUAUGGAGGAACACCGGUGGCGAAAGCGGCUCUCUGGCCUGUAACUGACACUGAGGCUCGAAAGCGUGGGGAGCAAACAGGAUUA
rnacentral:rRNA from 1 species